UACGAAGGGUGCAAACGUUGCUCGGAAUUAUUGGGCGUAAAGCGCGCGUAGGCGGUUACUCAAGUCGGGUGUGAAAGCCCUCAGCUCAACUGAGGAAGUGCGCCCGAAACUGCAGAGCUUGAGUGCCGGAGAGGGUGGCGGAAUUCCCCAAGUAGAGGUGAAAUUCGUAGAUAUGGGGAGGAACACCGGUGGCGAAGGCGGCCACCUGGACGGUAACUGACGCUGAGACGCGAAAGCGUGGGGAGCAAACAGG
rnacentral:rRNA from 1 species